rnacentral:rRNA from 1 species
UACGGAGGGGGCUAGCGUUGUUCGGAAUUACUGGGCGUAAAGCGCACGUAGGCGGCUUUGUAAGUUAGAGGUGAAAGCCCGGGGCUCAACUCCGGAAUUGCCUUUAAGACUGCAUCGCUCGAAUUGUGGAGAGGUAAGUGGAAUUCCGAGUGUAGAGGUGAAAUUCGUAGAUAUUCGGAGGAACACCAGUGGCGAAGGCGACUUACUGGACACAUAUUGACGCUGAGGUGCGAAAGCGUGGGGAGCAAACAGG